GGAGAGGAGAGGAGAAGAUGAGAGGAGGAGAGAAGGCGAGUCACAGAACCGCGUGUGUGUGUGUGUGUGUGUGUGUGUGUGUGUGUGUGUGUGUGUGUGUGUGUGUGUGUGUGUAGACAGCUUCAUGAAACAGAUGCUGGUGAGAUGCGCCGGCGCUGCGUUUGAGCUCUGAAGGCUGAAUGGAGGCUCGGCAGCGCUGUCAAGGAGGCGCGGCGGCGUUUAGAAGGCGAGGAGACGCGGGGCAGGAAGAGGAAAAGGAGCCGUGCGGAGGCAUUCCCAGCGGACGGCCCCGCUACCAAUUUGUAAAGAGAAGAAGAAGCUGUUGGCCCUCCCUUCCGCCAGUCUGGAUCAGGAGAAGGUGGUACUUGAGGACUCGCUGCAUAGGAACCACCAGCAGAUCCCUUAGUGUGAACUUGCCGUAGUUGGCUCGCUUUGAACAUUCCUGCAUGAAGAUGGGAACGACAGAACAUCAGUUAAAGGGGCCGGUGAAUCACAACCGAUGAGGAGCAGCGGUGCAGCGCCUCGGGUCGCCACCGGAGGGCGCUCUCCAACCACUCAGCUCGGCUCCUCUCGUCACCGGAGACCGUUACCUCCAGCUUCAUGCGCACGUCCUCUCGGUUUUUGCAGAUUUCGUCCAGAGAGGCGAUGGCUGUCUCCACAUGGCUGCAGUAUUUCCCGUAGAUCAACAACCUGGAACAUGGGUGGAAAACACAGCAUUCCUGCUGAAAGCUGUAAAUGAGCACAAUAAGCAAACAUGUAGUCGCUGUGCUGUACCUCUCCUUGUAGGUGAUGAAGAUCUGGUAGAGGUUCUGGGCACUUCUGUGGUGGACUGAGUCAUGGAGGUCCAGCAAGAGGUCUUUGUGAACUUUAACCAGGUCCUGCAAACAGACUUGAUCCUUUUACAAUUCAUUUUCUUAGUUAGGAGCUAAAUUCACGCAUCUGUUUGUUUUGAGGAGUCGUUUCAUUGAAUGACAAGUGAAAGAUUCAGGAAAAGUUGUCAUACUGUAUUUUUUACAUUUAAGAUUUUAAUGUUUUUUAUUAUAUUUUAAUGCUUUCAUACAGCGCUAUGAUAAAUGUUUCAUAACAAAUAUAUAUUUUGAAUAAUCCU